AUCACUUACCAAGCAUAUGUAUAAGCGUAACUGUAAAUAGAUUUAUGUAUUGUGUCAUACACAUAUUUGUUUUUGGAAAUUUGUUAUCUCAAACAUAUCCUUCUGUAUAUUCAACAGAAGAUUUAAACGGUCUAUGGACACAACAUACGACAUUACAAUCAACUCCUUAUACAACAGUUUUUAAUGUGAGUGAAGCCAUAUAUACAUGGGAUAGGGCUGCCAAUAACUGCAUAAAUGGCUGGACAUUGUCUGGAGAGGGCAUAUUCAAUUCUUGUCGUUCAGAUGUACAUGUAUGUCAUACUAUUAAUGCAAAUGAUCUACUGCCAAAUAUAAAAAAGAAACCUCCUUUUCUUUGGAAAGAUGGCUAUGCAGUACGGUCCCCUGUCAUAGAAUAUCACGGUAAAAUAGAGUGAUCAAUAGUUUUUAAGUUUUUAAGUUGUUAUUGUUUUCAAAUUAUAGUCUUUAAUAUGAACAUAUCUUUAAUAUGAACAUAUCUUUAAUAUGUACAAUACAAAUUGUACUGCACCAGAUGCGCAUUUUGACCUUUAAUGUUUCUCACGCGAUGCACAAGGAUAAAGUAUUUGAAUGUCCAAAAACUAAUACAAACGUUGAGAGCUAAUCAAAAACAAAUAGCACCAAAGUGAGGCAAAACCCGGGAAAUAAAACUGAUUUUAAAACGAAUGAAAUACAAUACGUAAUUCAAAAUGAUUUCGAAAUUGUAUAACAGCAAGUUUUUUUCUUGUCAAUUACGAAUUUUGCGUCUAUUUUUUAUUUCAACUUUUUGCGAUUAAAGUAUAUAAGCUAAAUGUGAUAUAAUCAGAGAGACCUAUGCUGAUCAUGUAUUGACAUUGGUUGACUGGAGUUUAUUUUAUGCUCAUCAUUUCAAUCGGGCAUCUAUUCAUAAAGGCAUGUUUACAUAUAGAUGUAUUUGUUGACCUAUCUGUUUUGUGUGUGUGUAUGUAUGUAUGUGUGUGUGUGAGUCGGUAAGUUUUUCGUUUAUUUGUAUCUAGUAAGACAAUCAAUUAAAUUUAUACAUAACAAGCAUGAAUCCUUUUUACGUAUGUGAUAGUUUAUUAGAUACUAAAUCUGACAGAUGAAUAUUGCUUUGCAUUGCACAGAUAAAUUGUAAUACAAUACCUCACUAUUAGGUCAGUCGUAUUUUCUUGCGUUUUAUCUAAAAAUAAAAAUACAUGAUCAAAUAAUUAUUCUUGUGCUGUGCCAGUAAAAAAAGCCGUUUACCCUCCCGGAAAGCCGAAUGACAUGCCAGUGUAUUAAAGGGUUAGUCGUGAUAAACUCAUUAUCUAUACAAAGAUUUUUUUUUUCACGUGAGACUAAAUAGAGACGUUCGAAUCAAAAACGUAAAUGCUAAUAAAAGUACGAAGGGAUGUUAGUUUGAUGAUGCAUGUUGAACUGCCUUGUUUUCUUUACCAAUUCUAUAUCCAACAUCCUGCUUUUCCGAGUGACAGUUUCAAUUCCCUGUCCUUCAUUUCGAUCGACCGAAUUAUUGACUGCGGUAAAGCAUUCAAAUAGAUCCCAGGUCUUCUCCAAUCUGCAGUGAAACCAAUGUUUUAAAGUUUUAUCAGUAUGUUUGUACAGGCUGUAUAAAUAAUAGGCAAUUCAAAUCAUAAUACAAGCAUGAUCAGGGUUUAAUCAGUUGUAGACGCUUGGAACCACUCGAUAAGGGAUACAUAAGGACAUGUUUAAAACUCCACGUUUGCAUUUGAAAAUGCCGAAACACCGGUUUGCUUUUAACCAUUUACUGUUAAUCUGCAGUCUCAAAUCGUUUGUCUCUUUAGGAAUAAAAGUCAGGGUACGCAACUGUUAAAUCGGUGCUCCAAAUACAAAAUGACAGGAAAAUAUUAUCAAAUACCUUUUUAUCCAAAAAUUCGCAAACAUUUAUGAUGCAAUCGGUCCUUCAUUUAAUGGCUAAUCUGUUUCUAUUUCAAUUUUUUUUUUUUUUUUUUUUUUUUGUUGUUGUGUUAUUAUUUUAUUCUAGAGUGUUUGAAGUUUAGCAACGUGAACAGUACAGCAAAUUUAUUAACACAUACAAAAAAGCUGAUCCUUAAUGGGGUCGAAAAGUGUUCUCUUUUUUGUCAACAAGAUGGAAACUUAAAGGACAAAGACAUCAUUUUACUACAGAAUGAAACGUGCUAUUGUUUGCCGGAGAAAACGCAACGACAAUGGAAUGAGAUGAUAGAUGUAAUACAAAAGACUUCUACUCACGACUGCGAUAUGCAAUGUGUUGAUGACAAAUUUGACAGAUGUGGAGGCAAAACAAAUCUUUUUCAUCGUAUAAACUGAUGGAAUUACCGAUGAGUGCAGAAAUCGGUGGAAAUUGUUUCUAUACGUCCGGCAGCAGUACACAAGUCAAACGUACUAGAUGUAAAGAAGAAUUAAAGUUAAAGUGUGAAGAAGUCAUACAAUCAGAUGGAAUCAGGAAUCUCAAGGUCAAAUGUUACGAAAUUAUGUUGAAUUGGUAUGAUGCAAGACAAGCGUGCAAUCGGUCUGGAAGAUAUAUUCAACUUUUGAACAACAAGUGUGAUAAUAACGAAGAUCUUAGAGCAGACAAAAUAUGGCACAAUAGUUUCAUUAAAGAGAGAAUUGUUUGGAAUACAAGUAUGAUAUAUCUUCAUAAUAACAUUCGCAGUAUUACAUUAUAACAGAAUCAUCAAAACAUUUUCAGCUACUAAGAUAAUAUGAUUUAGCAAACAUGCUAGCCAGUUAAAAACCAGGUUUAAUCCACCAUUGUCUACACAAGGAUAUGUCUGUACCAAGUCACGAAUAGGACAGUUGUUUUUCAUUAGUUUGAUAUGUUCGAGCUCUCAAUUUUGCCAUUUGUUGAGGAAAUACCGUUUUAAAUUUUCUUUGGAGUUCUUUUUUUUAUUAUUAUUUUACUUUUUCAAUACAAAAGAUAAAUUAAAUCACAUAUUUA